GACGAACGCUGGCGGCGUGCUUAACACAUGCAAGUCGAACGGAAAGGCCCUGCUUUUGUGGGGUGCUCGAGUGGCGAACGGGUGAGUAACACGUGAGUAACCUGCCCUUGACUUUGGGAUAACUUCAGGAAACUGGGGCUAAUACCGGAUAGGAGCUCCUGCUGCAUGGUGGGGGUUGGAAAGUUUCGGCGGUUGGGGAUGGACUCGCGGCUUAUCAGCUUGUUGGUGGGGUAGUGGCUUACCAAGGCUUUGACGGGUAGCCGGCCUGAGAGGGUGACCGGCGACAAUGGUACUGAGAUACGGCCCAGAAGCCUACGGGAGGCAGCAGUGGGGAAUAUUGCAGAACGGGCGGAAGUCUGAGGCAGCAACGCUGCGUGCGGGAUGACGGGCUUCGGGUUGUAAACCGCUUUCGCAUGUGACGAAGCGUGAGUGACGGUAAUGGGUAAAGAAGCACCGGCUAACUACGUG
rnacentral:rRNA from 1 species